rnacentral:rRNA from 1 species
GACGAACGCUGGCGGCGUGCCUAAUACAUGCAAGUUGAGCGCUGAAGGUUGGUACUUGUACCAACUGGAUGAGCAGCGAACGGGUGAGUAACGCGUGGGGAAUCUGCCUUUGAGCGGGGGACAACAUUUGGAAACGAAUGCUAAUACCGCAUAAAAACUUUAAACACAAGUUUUAAGUUUGAAAGAUGCAAUUGCAUCACUCAAAGAUGAUCCCGCGUUGUAUUAGCUAGUUGGUGAGGUAAAGGCCCACCAAGGCGAUGAUACAUAGCCGACCUGAGAGGGUGAUCGGCCACAUUGGGAAUGAGACACGGCCCAAACUCCUACGGGAGGCAGCAGAAGGGAAUCUUCGGCAAUGGACGAAAGUCUGACCGAGCAACGCCGCGUGAGUGAAGAAGGUUUUCGGAUCGUAAAACUCUGUUGGUAGAGAAGAACGUUGGUGAGAGUGGAAAGCUCAUCAAGUGACGGUAACUACCCAGAAAGGGACGGCUAACUACGUG